rnacentral:rRNA from 1 species
UGGGGAAUACUGCACAAUGGGCGAAAGCCUGAUGCAGCAACGCCGCGUGAGUGAUGAAGGCCUUCGGGUUGUAAAGCUCUGUCUUUUGGGACGAUAAUGACGGUACCAAAGGAGGAAGCCACGGCUAACUACGUGCCAGCAGCCGCGGUAAUACGUAGGUGGCAAGCGUUGUCCGGAUUUACUGGGCGUAAAGGAUGCGUAGGCGGAUUUUUAAGUGAGAUGUGAAAUACCCGGGCUUAACUUGGGUGCUGCAUUUCAAACUGGGAAUCUAGAGUGCGGGAGAGGAGAAUGGAAUUCCUAGUGUAGCGGUGAAAUGCGUAGAGAUUAGGAAGAACACCAGUGGCGAAGGCGAUUCUCUGGACCGUAACUGACGCUGAGGCAUGAAAGCGUGGGUAGCAAACAGGAUUAGAUACCCUGGUAGUCCACGCCGUAAACGAUGAGUACUAGGUGUAGGAGGUAUCGACCCCUUCUGUGCCGCAGUUAACACAAUCAAGUACUCCGCCCGGGAAGUACGAUCGCAAGAUUAAAA